GAGACCGAUGGCGCAGACUCGCACGCGAACCUCGUCAGGGCCAGGAGGAGGAAGCAU
rnacentral:SRP_RNA from 11 species